rnacentral:misc_RNA from 1 species
AACGCACAUUGCACUGGCUUUGCGGCCAGUAUGCCUGUUUGAGUAUCGGAAAGACCCUACCAGCGAAGGCUGGUGACGUGGGCGGCAGCGCAGCUCCGCCUCAAAAGCAGCGACGCAGCCGCCGGCUACGCGCCGCGACUCCAAGCGACAAGCGCCUCGUGCCUUACCUUGGAAGCGGCGCGGAUGCAGGCGGACGCAACAGCGUGCCCCGGCACACCGUACCACGAUGCGAUCUCAAAUCAGGCAAGACUACCCGCUGAACUUAA